rnacentral:lncRNA from 1 species
GUAUAUGCAGCUUGCUGAACCUUGACAACCAUUUCUGUAAUUACCAAUGUCAAGAGCUGGAUGAUGUUGAGUUUUAGUUGUUCUAUGCUUUAAUGACCAUGAGGGUGGUGCUCGUCAUUUUUCUUCUGAACUUUAACAACCAUUACUGUGAUUACCAAUGUCAAGAGCUGGAUAUGUUGAGUUUUAGUUGUUCUAUGCUUUAAUGACUAUGAGGAUGGUGCUUGUCCUUUUUCUCCUGGCAUUGUCUUAAGUUCUUGAGAUCUCUUGAUUUAUUAUUUUCUCGAGUCUUAGAUGUUGAACUAUUCUUAUAUCCCAAUGUGCCAAACAGCAGCUAAAUUACGUGCAUGUGAGUCGUGACUUGCCAAUGCAAGGAGGGACUUGUUAUAUGAGGACUUCUAUUUCCUUUACUUGUCUUUUCAAAUUAGGAUUUUACAUUAUGCUCUGGAUUUUAAGUUUAAAGAGUUACGAUUCUGCUUAUGAAUGAUCUUAUUAGCC